GUUCAUGUGUGCGAAAUGUUUCUAGAACCAUAUAAACUGAGCUUUGUUUAUAUUCUGUUUAGAAUUCUGAGGCAUUAUUACACUCUUUGAUCUAUGUUGACCAAAGAAAAAUGUAUGUCUUCAAACGAGUGCUCUGGAAAAGUCCUCUGUAACAAAUAGCUACAGAUUUCUUCUAUCCAAGGAGGACACCUAGAGGCUACUUUCGUGAUGUGAUUGCCAAUCCUGAAAUGCUUUCCAAAUUGUUUUCUUCACAGAUCCAAUCAUAAAUCAUUCAUUGCAGGUCCAGCACAGUAGAAGUACAUUACAAGAUACAGAAGAACUCUUAAAGCACUGAAACUUUCGACUGAAAAAAAUUUGCAACCUGAAAACUGAGAAUAUGCUUCACUCAAGGACAUUAAUUGAGGACUCUAGCUUGGGAAAUCAGCUUCUCAAACAGCUUUGAUGAUUCUCCCUAAGAGGCCACUUUGCAUAAACCAGACACUGUACUAGAAGCUGGGGAUACGCUGGUAAAUGAGACCAACUCUGCCCUCAGGGAGCUGAGAAUCUAGUGAGGAAGACAGCUACAAAACAAAAAGCAGAGUCACGAGAGAUACAGUUAGGAAGCUGGAGAAGAAACAAGGAAGCUAAGGAAAGUCUGUCAAGCCCUCUCAUGGAAAACCUGUGAAAAUAUCUUUGCAGCUUCUUCCUCUGCACUUGCAGCCUUUCUACAUAGCUCAGGGGGAAAUACAGUAGUUUUGAAGUCAAUAAUCACUUAUUCACUAAAGGAAGACACUUGUGUAUACAAUAAAGGAUGGCAUUUCUAUGAAAUUGUCAG
ensembl:lncRNA